CUGGGUUUUAAAUUUCUGUGUGCUGGGUGGAUGGGGGAACAGCUGGGGAGGUGUUUGCAAGAAUCUGGGAGCUUGUGUGCUUUUUUUUGAAUUUUUAUGGUUUUCUGUGACCAUUGGGCCAUGUUGUUGUUUUUUGAAAAAAAUUUAUGGGUUUUGAAUUUCUGUGUGCUGGGUGGCUGGGGGAACAGCUGGGGAGGUGUUUGCAGGAAUCUGGGAGCUUGUGUGCUUUUUUUUGAAUUUUUAUGGUUUUCUGUAACCAUUGGGCCAUGUUGUUUUUUUUUGAAAAAAAAUUCUGGGUUUUAAAUUUCUGUGUGCUGGGUGGCUGGGGGAACAGCUGGGGAGGUGUUUGCAAGAAUCUGGGAGCUUGUGUGCUUUUUUUUGAAUUUUUAUGAUUUUUUGUGACCAUUGGGCCAUGUUGUUUUUUUUUGAAAAAAGUUUCUGGGUUUUAAAUUUCUGUGUGCUGGGUGGAUGGGGGAACAGUUGAGGAGGGGU